rnacentral:rRNA from 1 species
UACGAAGGGUGCAAACGUUGCUCGGAAUCAUUGGGCGUAAAGCGCACGUAGGCGGCGCAACAAGUCGGACGUGAAAUCCCUCGGCUCAACCGAGGACGUGCAUCCGAAACUGUUGUGCUCGAGUAUGGAAGAGGGUCGCGGAAUUCUCGGUGUAGAGGUGAAAUUCGUAGAUAUUGGGAAGAACACCGGUGGCGAAGGCGGCGACCUGGUCCUUUUACUGACGCUGAGGCGCGAAAGCGUGGGGAGCAAACAGG